AUGGCGGCACGCAGACACUGCUGCCUCGGGAACGGGAUGGGGCUUGGAAGCCUCCUGGCCGGGGGGGGUCAGCGCGCGGUGGGGGCUCGGGGACGCGCAGAACGUGCUCGUGCUUUGCUGCUGGAAGGCGGCCGCCCCCAGGUGUGUGUGCGUGGGUUUGUGCAGUACAGUGCCGCCUCCUUGCACGCAUCCGUGUAUUUAAGUCUUUCCUUUUUUUCCCUUUUUCCUUUUUCCUCUUUUUCCUUUUUCCUCUUUUUCCUCUAUUUCCUUUUUUUCCUCUAUUUCCUUUUUUUCCUCUUUUUCCUUUUUUCCUCUUUUUCCUUUUUUCCUCUUUUUCCUUUUUUCCUCUUUUUCCUUUUUCCCCAUUUUUCCUUUUUCCCCAUUUUUCCUUUUUCCUUUUUUUCUUUCCUUUUUUUUCCUUUUUUCCCUUUUUCUUUUUCUCUCUUCUCCUUUCCUUUUUUCUCUUUUUCUUUUCUUUCUCUCUCCUUUUCUUCCUCUCUCAUCUCCUUUCUUUUUUUAUUUUCUUUUCUUUUUUCUUCUCUUUUUCCUUCCCUUCCCUUCCCCCUUCCCCUUCCACACCUUGUUACACCCCCCCAUUCACCCCCUCCCCCAGCUCAGGACUCCCCUGCAGCACUCACUGCCCGCCUGCACCCCAUUACGGAGACUUUUUUGAACGGAAAUAUCACGAUGUUACUUCUGCUAUUACCUUUCCCGUGCCCUCAGUUCUCAAUCGGCUCCUCUCAUGAGGAAGUCCUAACAUCAGUCAGUGCAGCUCUGCACCCAGUCCCCAGCAGAGGGAGAUGUCCGCCUCUGGGUGCCUCACAGACACAUACAUUGUUUGCUAUUCUUUAUUUUGUUGCUGUUUUGUUAAGUUUUUUGCUAUCUCUGCUCUCCACUGUUUUCCCAGUGGAUGAGAAGCGAACUUCCCUCCUCACCACCCUCGCAGGCUGCAGUGACUGUUCCAAGUGCCCAAGGCCCAACUCUGCUCCUCACCACGCAGCAAAAAGCCAGGCCCUUGCCAGCAGACUUCGUUAG
rnacentral:lncRNA from 1 species